UCUCCAGCCCAAUUCCCUCAACACUGGAUGCAAAAUAUUUAUUUAUCUGUGAAAAUAGAUAAUGUAGAGAGGAAAGAAAGACGGUAGCAGAUAAACCUAAAUACAUUUUGGGACUCGCUGGAAACUCGCAAAUUCCCUCAACACUGAACUCGCUGGAAAAUUCAUUCUAGGACUCAGGUUACGUUUCUGCCUUCCUCAAUAUUCCAUUUUUCUCAUAUUCUAACAAGGCACUGCAUAAUCUCAGGUUACGUUUCUCCCUUCCUCAAUAUUCCAUUUUUCUCAUUGUGACCUAUAUCCAGAUUGGGGGUUUGCUUCUGCUGCCAAUCAAGGAUUCUUCUACGCAUUCCUUCCUGAAAACAACGCACCUCCCUUCCCAAUUCCCUUCCCUGUAUUUCACUGAUGCUAGACCGUUGGAACCAGAAAGAUUGAAGGCAUUUCACAUUCAGUUGGCAAAGUACUAUUUGAAAGUUAAAAAUGAAAUUUAUGAUGUUUAGACAAUUUUGUAAUUGUAGUUUAUAUUUACUUUAUAUUUUUUACAAUUCAUGUCUCAACAUUAAAUAUGCUUUAAAUUUAUAGUAAUUAGGAAAUUUCUCA